rnacentral:tRNA from 1 species
AGAGCUGUGGCUCAAUGGUAGAGCGCUUGCCUAGCAUGUGUGAAGCACUGGAUUUGAUUUCCAGCACCACAU